UGUCAGGGUGUGUGUAUCUGUGUGUCAGUGUGUGCCACUAUGAGCGUGUGUGUGUAUCUGUGUCAGAUUCAUUCACACUGACACACAGAUACACACCUUGACACA